rnacentral:lncRNA from 1 species
UCCAGUUCGGUGUCCAGCUGUGUUCACUCUCAGACUGCUAAACCCGGUUGAGCUGAGUUGUGAUCCAAUGUCCUGGUUCAGACGAACUCUAAGGCUCCACUGUUAACUGCUAACGGUAGCUAACUACAUGGAGGGUCAGGGAUCAAACUGGAGAGGAACGCUGCUGAUGGUGCAACCAGCCGUUCAUCCCGCUGAGCGUUGAAAAGCUGCUGCUCCUCUUCUUCUGUGAUGGAGUCGAUGUGGAGAAUGAGACGAUGUCAGUUUCUCUGUGACAGCCGAGCAAAGUUGAGCCGCUGAAGAAGUGAAGAAGCUCCACAAGGGCGCCGAGGUAAGAGGAAAUAAAUGAACUCCCAGUUUGGAAAAAGAGGAACAACUUUGCUUUGUGCUCAGCGUGAACAGCAGAGCUGCAGAUGAUCAACAAAUACCAACCAGAAAUGUUUGUUGUGAUGAGCUCACACUUAAAAAAUCAUAAAAAAAUAUGAUGAAGGAUCUUUUGUCCGCACUGAUGAGAGCAGUUUGUUUAGUACAUACAUGCUGUAGCUCAUAAACCUGGUGAGACAAUAACACAAUGUGGAUGAAAUGAGAGAG